GACGAACGCUGGCGGCGUGCUUAACACAUGCAAGUCGAACGGAAAGGCCCUGCUUUUGUGGGGUGCUCGAGUGGCGAACGGGUGAGUAACACGUGAGUAACCUGCCCUUGACUUUGGGAUAACUUCAGGAAACUGGGGCUAAUACCGGAUAGGAGCUCCUGCUGCAUGGUGGGGGUUGGAAAGUUUCGGCGGUUGGGGAUGGACUCGCGGCUUAUCAGCUUGUUGGUGGGGUAGUGGCUUACCAAGGCUUUGACGGGUAGCCGGCCUGAGAGGGUGACCGGCCACAGUGGGACUGAGAUACGGCCCAGACUCCUACGGGAGGCAGCAGUGGGGAAUAUUGCACAAUGGGCGGAAGCCUGAGGCAGCGACGCCGCGUGCGGGAUGACGGCCUUCGGGUUGUAAACCGCUGUCGCCUGUGACGAAGCGUGAGUGACGGUAAUGGGUAAAGAAGCACCGGCUAACUACGUG
rnacentral:rRNA from 1 species